UGCCUUGCCGAGCUCAGUGGUAGAGCGUCCGACCAGUGGGCGGAAGGUCAUAGGUUCUGACUCCUGUUGGGGGAA